ACGGAGGAGAUUACUAAGGGCUUAAAGAGGAAGAACUCCUGAUUGGCACUGUCUGCUACCUCUGUAAGGAUGAACGUUAAGAAAAGGAGGUUGGUCAAGGAAUUCGAGCUGGUCCCUUCCCGAAAAGAGACCUCGUCUUCCUUGCCUCCAAAGAGGUCUUCAACGGAAAAGUCAGGCAAGGGCAAAGAUAGGGAGAGCUCGCUUCAAGAAGGUAGCGAUGAUCUUCUGACCAUCUUAAUUCCCAACAUGUAAGGGCUGUAUUUCCAAUUGACCCUGACUCUAAGCCUACUUCUAUUGUCGAGUUGCUCAACAAUCACGUCUUUAGGACAUCCUUGAACUUGAAUUAUCCUCGAAAGGUGAGCAUGAUUUGCCACACAAUCCAAUCCAUGAGGCAGUCAGCUUCGUUUGCUGCUUAGGCGGACAAGGACUUUUUUAGUGCCUCUGAGAGACAAGUUCUUCUCGUAAGUUUUUCUUACUCUUUCCUUAUUCAAUGGUUGAUUUUUAGUAGUUUUCUAACUUAUUUUUUCCCCUGUAGCUUCUUAGUGCUCUGGUAGAGUUGGAGGGUAAAAUGACUAGUGCUCGGGAGGUUGUCCGUCAUGAUGUUGAAAAAGCUAAGGAAGAGAAAGUGUGUGGGUGGCCACCGCAUUGAAAAAAUUUUACGAGGGGGAGAUUGGUUGGCUGGAAAGACUUCUCCAAGUCAAACAGGCUUAGAAUGAUAAGGUUGCCCGUCUGAAGGACCAACUUGCUAAGGAGAGAGUUGCCGCAUAAGCUAAACUUGCUUAUAAGAAAGCUUUCGUAGAUCAAAGGGAGAGAAAUCUUGCCACCCGGUUUGCCAAGCUUGAGGAGGAGGUGUAGAGGUUGCCUGGGGAUAAAGCUGGAGUUGAGUAGUGCUCGGAGAUAAACUGAAGCCAUGAAAAGUGAGCACAAAACCAAGAUCCAUGACCUUUUUAUUCGAUGUAAAGAUUAUGAAAAGAAGGUUAUAGAUGCUCAUGAGAUGGUGAUUUGGUGGCAUAGAGCCAUGUCAAUAAGUAUCUGAGGUCAGAUGAGUUCAAGGCCAAAGUCUUUUAUCAGUCCACUUGCUUUUAUGCGAUGGGUUUUAAUGAUGGCCUCUUGAAAGCUCGGGAAUUUUAGGCUGUUCCACUCAGUACUCUUUAUGCUGUAGAGUAUGACUCUGACAAUGAGGUGUAAUAUGGUCCUGACGAUCGUGCUAUUCCCAAAAUUCAUCCUCCUGCUCCUUAAGAGACAUUAGCUCGUCUAGCGGCUAAGUUUGAUCAGGGUAACAGCCAGGUCAAUGAUGAUCCCCCUGCUUUUAAGGCUGCUAAUGCCCUUUUGGAUCCUUCUUUAGAAGGUGUGCUCUAGCAUAUUCGACUGUUGUGACUGCUGAUGUUUCAAAGAGCACCUCCGAAGUUGAGCCCGUUUUGACUGGUGACCUUGCCUUUUCUAGAGAAAAUUAAGGAUUUGCUUCCUAUAAACAAUUUUAUUUGUAUGUUCGUUUAGACUACUUUUUGAAUUGUAAUACAUUCUGAUUAAUGAA
rnacentral:lncRNA from 1 species